AUAAUAAGUUAAUUAUUUGUUGAUGAUUAGCACAAUUACUCCUCACUCAAUCAAUUCAAGAUAGAAUAUCGCAAAUAUUAAACAUUACUCAGUAAAUAAAUUUGAACUCAAGUUACCUUUGCAAGUGGUGCACUUUUGAUGUGUAUAUAUUGUCCCUAUCCAAAUUUAUCAUCACUAAAUGAUUUAUUUUGUAAGACACGCCUUCAUCAUCUGCGUGCUUUGUUGUUGCAUUUUUGUUGGAAUGUAUGCGUCCACGUUUUCUAUGGGACCAGGUCCUCAGCACAGGUACAAUAACAGAAAAUAAACAAAGUGCUGAAAGUAAAGAUUGCACAACAACUUUACGUGGAAACCUCCUUGCUUAAGGGAGUAAAACCACGACCUGGCCUGCCAGGACUUUUCAAACUUCUUUCACUAAUCUUCUCCAAGCAAAAGUAAAAGCAACUUUACAAACCGAGAUUAGCCUACUAAUCCCAACUCUAAGCAAUACCUCCUAUUACUUAGAUGAGCCAGAGCAGAUACAACACUGCCCACUAAGCUAUCACCCUUAGAUAACUUAGACUUUGCUAAGCGGAUACAACACCGCCCACUAUACUAAUCCUAACCGAUUAAUAUAGACUUUUAGAGUAAGAACCUAAGUUACCCUUAACCUAGUUCUUACAAUGAUUCAAACAAGUUUGAAACGUUUCUUUCACAAGUGAAACGGAUCUUACAAUAUCAGAACUAUUACAAGCAAACAAAAUAACAGCUGAUGCAAGAAGCUCUUGAAGCAAUCGAUCAAAUCCCUUGUUGUUCUUGAAGCUUGAAAGACUCUCACACUUUUUGAAUGAAUGAAUGAAUAUUCUUGUAUAUUAUUUAGUAUAUACCACAAAAAGUUAUUACCAAACGUACAAGCAACCUCCUUGUUUCUGAUUGGUGAAGUACUCUGCAGCUUCACCAACUUUUCUGACGCAGACACAGCUUUUACAGCUGUACCGCACUUUGACAGCUGGACGAGUAUUCAUACUCUGCAGAGGACCAGGUCCCUGCACUUGUGAGGAGAUCAUCAAAACACCAAAAGGCAUAAGCUCUUAUCAAUUUUCAUGACCACAUACAACUCAGUUACCUAAUACAAUAACAACAUAUUCAGUAUGGUCCACAAGUGGAGUUUGAUGAGAGUUAAAUGUACGCAAACCUUACCGCUAUCUUGCCAAGUAGAGAGGUUGUUUUUGAAAGAUCCUCAGCUCAAGGAGAACAAAACACAAGAUUUAAGAAAACAUAAGCAACGGCAAGAUGGUAAGAAAGUAGAGGCUCUAAAUCCAAACCUGCAAAGCAAAAAUACCAAAAUCAACAGUAGUAUAUGCAUAUGCUAUUAACUAUUGAAAUCUUUAAAGUGUUCGAGCUUUUUCUUAUGUUUUCCUUUUUGAAAAGUCUCAAUGCUAUGUCUUUUUCUCCACUAAAACUACAGUAUACACCUUCUACACAUUUUUCUCUUGUACCCAUUCUACCCAUUGAGAUAGUAGAAUGGCUGUUAAAACUUUUACAGACUUUAAAUCUCCUUUAUUUUACCUGCUUUUCUUCUUAUUAUUAUCCUUUCCAAUCUGCUUAGUUGGCUUUAUUAUACCACCUUUCACUCCAUUGCAUUGCGUAGAAUCAUGCCCCUUAUCCAUGACUGCACGUAUGCAACAG
rnacentral:lncRNA from 1 species